GGGAAAAUACUAUUUUCAGCACUGAUUAUAGCAGGUUUUAAAUAUUGUUAAGUUCAUGUCUUUUUUUUUUUUAAAUCACAGAUAAACCACAUUAGAAAAAGCCAUGUCUUUUUUUUAUUGCGCAUGAAGUUACUCACUUAAAAAUAUCUUUUUCCUUAAUCUUAAUUUGAGUGCAUGACUGUACUGUAGAUGGCUAGAAAGAACACCAGGUGGGGACUGCGAUACCUUAAUGACAG
rnacentral:antisense_RNA from 1 species